CCUACGGGUGGCAGCAGUGAGGAAUAUUGGUCAAUGGGCGCGAGCCUGAACCAGCCAAGUAGCGUGAAGGAUGACUGCCCUACGGGUUGUAAACUUCUUUUAUAAAGGAAUAAAGUGAGGCACGUGUGCCUUUUUGUAUGUACUUUAAGAAUAAGGAUCGGCUAACACCGUGCCAGCAGCCGCGGUAAUCCGGAGGAUCCGAGCGUUAUCCGGAUUUAUUGGGUUUAAAGGGAGCGUAGAUGGGUUGUUAAGUCAGGUGUGAAAGCUUGCGGCUCAACCGUAAGAUUGCAAGUGAUACUGGCUGCCUUGAGUACAGUUGAGGUAGGCGGAAUUCGUAGUGUAGCGGUGAAAUGCUUAGAUAUCACGAAGAACUCCGAUUGCGAAGGCAGCCUACUAAACUGCCACUGACAUUGAUGCUCGAAAGUGUGGGUAUCAAACAGGAUUAGAUACCCGUGUAGUC
rnacentral:rRNA from 1 species